rnacentral:misc_RNA from 1 species
CCAGCAACUCCACAACCUGCUCCAAGUUCAAUAACACGCUUUCCCUUCAGUUUGGAUGGGCAAAACCGUCCCUUUCUGCAAUUCUUUUCCAGAAAUUUAACAAACACCAUUGAUGCAUCCCAAACUGUAGUUCCUAAAUGCUUUGAAUUUGGAUCCUGAGAGAAUUGCAGUUGAUGGCCGAGGAUUUCAAGAAUAAUUGAAGAGGUGCUUGGAGAAUUUAACCUGUCAUGCUCCAUUGAUCCAAGUUUUCAGAAGAGAAGAAAUGUUUUCUUAGUACACAGUACACCCACGCAGGGCCGACUAAAGUAAUAGAGGAAUGAUAUGUUUUCCUGAGAUGAAGGAACUCCGUGAACUACUUUUGCUGUUACUAGGAAAGAAGUAGAAUGUUGUGAGAAGGAAGAAAC